rnacentral:rRNA from 1 species
AACGAACGCUGGCGGCAGGCCUAACACAUGCAAGUCGAACGCUCGUAGCAAUACGAGAGUGGCAGACGGGUGAGUAACACGUGGGAACCUUCCCUAUGGUUCGGAAUAGCUCAGGGAAACUUGAGGUAAUACCGGAUAAGCCCUUCGGGGUAAAGGAUUAUCGCCAUUGGAUGGGCCCGCGUCGGAUUAGCUAGUUGGUGAGGUAACGGCUCACCAAGGCAACGAUCCGUAGCUGGUCUGAGAGGAUGAUCAGCCACACUGGGACUGAGACACGGCCCAGACUCCUACGGGAGGCAGCAGUGGGGAAGUAUUGGUACAAUGGGCGCAAGCCUGAUCCAGCCAUGCCGCGUGAGUGACGAAGGUCUUCGGAUUGUAAAACUACUUUUGGCGGGGACGAUAAUGACGGUACCCGCAGAAUAAGCCCCGGCUAACUUCGUGCCAGCAGCCGCAGUAAC